rnacentral:rRNA from 1 species
GUCAAGAAAAGUCUCUAUCGAGGUUAAAGGUACCCGUACCGCAAACCGACACAGGGGGGUGAGGAGAGUAUCCUAAGGCCAGCGAGAGAACUGUUGUUAAGGAACUCGGCAAAAUGACCCCGUAACGUAGGGAUAAGGGGUGCCACCAUCAGGUGGCCGCAGAGAAUAGGCCCAAGCGACUGUUUACCAAAAACAUAGGUUUCUGCUAAGUCGCAAGACGAUGUAUAGGAGCUGACGCCUGCCCGGUGCUGGAAGGUUAAGGGGAUCUGUUAGAGCAAUCGAAGCAGUGAACUUAAGCC